CACCUGAAAAUUUCACCUAUGACAAUUGAGUAAAAAAAUCAUUGAUUUUGAGGUGUGAAAAAAGUGUCCCACACAUAUUUUCUUCCACUCAAAAUAUUUUUCUUUAACUUUAACUCAUAGAUACCCUCAGAAGUAUAGGGCUUGAAGUCAAGGACCAGAUCCACUGACUGGACAAGGGGAGAAGUGCCACAGUGUAUCUGCAGUCAUGCUGGGAGCCUCACACAUUGCCAAUGGAGAACUUGGCUCCUCAGCCGGCCAGGGAGAGAGGAGUGAAUGUCCUUCCCUCAUGAAAGCAGAAGCAGCUUCUCUGGGCUUCAGCUGGAAAGAGAAUCUGGGUGGGGCUGAUUUCAGUGUACUAAAGAAGGUAAACCAAUGAGUGUGAAGGAAAAAAAUGGCUCUAUGCCUCAAGACACAUCAUAAGAUGCUGAAUCCUCAGCCAUUAUCAUCUCCAUGGCAUCACUGUUCCUCUUCCCGAAAGUGUCUUCAAAGUUCUAGGCCAUCUCUCUCUGGAGGCUGAAAAAAUGCCAUCACUGGGGCUACAUUCCCAAGUGAUGAGCUCUUUUGCUUCUGCAGGUUCCUAGACAAGCUUCACCAUGGGCCUAAGAGGGAUACUCACCUCCAG
rnacentral:lncRNA from 1 species